AUUUAUUUAAAUCCAGAUUAUUGAGGAGAACAUCAUGCUAUUUACAGGAAAACAAUUAUUUUAAUUUAAGCAGAUGUCAACUCACGGACACUUGCUUAGAAAAAAGUGUCCGAAUGCCAAGAUUCAAAGCCUAGCAUUCGCUAGGUUUUUUUAUGUCAUCAAU
rnacentral:ncRNA from 1 species